GAUGUCAUUUCUAUUGGACUGGAGACAAAAACAUCUACUUAACGCAAACCUUCGUUACUGCUCCAUAUUCGGCGAUCCUUUCCCCUGUUCAUAAUUUUUUUUCUUUUUUUUUUUAACUCCACUUCUCGCUUUCGCAUCUUGUGGUUUCCUCUUCCUUCUUGGCGACGUCGCCCAGAUGCCCCAGCCGGUUCUCUUCGAAUCGCAACCCAGUCUUUUCCAAUCCCUCUCUCUUCUAUCUCCGAUUCGUUUCCCUUCUCUAACCCUCGUUUCCUGUCUUCUCUCGCAGAUGGAAGAGCAUCUUUUUCGGCAACUGCAGCAAACCCUAAACGCCGAUCCGAACAACCCCACCCACCACUCCAAUCUCGGUCUCUUCUUGUGGGAAAGAGGGGAAGGAAUAGAUGGAGAGGAAUCGAGGCAAUACAAGGAAAAGGCAGCCGAGCAUUUCUUGGCCUGUGCGAAGCUGAACCCUAGCGAAGGUGCCGCCUUUCAUUUCCUAGGGCACUACCGCAGCCAAAUCUCGGUGGACAGCACAGAGGGCUUCCAAGUUCUAGCUGAGGACUGUGUCCCUGAAUCCCGAUGUUAAGAGUUUUCCUUUCAAGAAAUUGAGUUAAUUAGCGCCUUUUAAAUCGCUGUUUUUUUUUUUUGCCUUCAGUAAGGGCUGUGUGAUUUGUUGGAUGAAGAAGGAAAGGAAAUUUUGGAGAGUGCUUUGUGUAAGGAGGCAUCUGUGAAGUCCCCGAGAGCUUUUUGGGCGGAAAGGAGAUACACCUGCAUGUCCUUAUAUAUAUUGAUCAUUGGUUUCAUCUUCCUUUCAUUUUAUUGUGUGAUCGAUUCAAUUCGUAUCAUUGGUUUGUUAGUGGUGUUACUAUCCUUUUUUUUCCUGCUUGCAUUUCCAUAUUAUAAUCAAGGGGAAAAAAAGCUAUAUGCACCUAGAAAGGAGACCCAUAGAAGUAUUCCAGCUCCCACUGGAGUGCAAUGUCCACUAAAAGAAAUGGUCAGAGGCAGGACAAAGCCUUCAUCAUGCAAUACAAGGCUAUCCAGCAUGUGCCAAUUUGUGGGAAGAACUUGAUCUUGCAUACCAAUGCUUGGGAAUGUUUACUGCAGCUAUAAAGGUAUCAUUCUGCUAUUGUCAAUAUAAAUGUCUGGUUUUACUAUUUACUGGUAGUUUUUAUGAUAUUAUUUCCUGAAAAAUCAUUUUCUUGAUAAGAUAAGGUGUUUAACUGCAACCAGAUCCAUCAAAUAGGAUUUCAUGCUUUUAUGUACCAUGCUUUGGACCUUUUGCUACUUUGUAGGUCUUUUAAAGAUCUUGAAAUGAUUAAUUUGAUUGCCUAUCUAGUAGAUUUUUGACAGACGACUUUAUAUUACUUGUCUCCAUAAUGCUUGAAGAAGGUAUGCAUAGCAAUGGCUUUACAAAAAUGGUGAUAUUUAAUCUAGCCAUAUUGAUUCUUCAACCAUUAUCGGCAACUUCUAAAGUUUCUGUUUGGUAGCUAAUUUGCUAAUAAAAUAUAUGACAUGCAGUUGCUGAGGUAUGGAAGACCAAAUAGAAGACAAGCAAAAUGAUUUUGUAGAAUGGCUGCUGCUUAGAUACUUCUGAUAUGUGAACUAUGUUAGUUGACAUUAAUAUGAUAUGUAUGGAUAUAAAGUUCACAAUUUAUCAUUAUUUGAAGUUCACUUAGUACAUUAGCUUUUCUUUUUUUCCCACUUCGAGCUAGUUAUGAAUGCAUGCUUUAUCAAAGAGGAAGAAGUAUUUAAUGGAUAGUCGUGAUCAUCUUAAUUAGGAUAUUUUGGAGUGGAUAUGGAUGUGGUGUAUUCAGGAGGAGCAUUUGAUGAACAGAUCUGAUUUGAUAAAUGUACUCUGUAACUUAGUUUUUGUAUCACUCUCCUUCCUUCUUCUUAGUCAUUGAUUAGAUAGUGAAUAUGGAGAGAGCUGCAUUUACAGAAGGGUGUAACUAGACAAGGAAAGCGAACUGGACUUUACCCAUGACCAAGAGAAACACCGAAAAAAUUACAAUCUGUAGGAUAGCUGCAAAACCUUUCUUAUUAUGUACGGGUAAGACUAUAUAAAAAAAAAGUCAGGAGCCUUUCAAGUUAUAAGGAAAUCAUUUACUCAAGUAGGAAGUCAGUUUCUAUGGAAACUAUACUAGCAUGUUUGACUAUUUUCUUUAAUGAUAUUUACAGAUGGAUACUAAAUGAAUUUCCAUUAAAAAUCUUAUUUGCCUGGGAUUAGUUCCCUGCUAACUCUGAUUUGAUUUGGGAGGCUUUUCAUCUCUGGAAUAUCUUAUGCAGCUUGAGAAGGAUAUUGUGGUUCCGAAUAAAACAGAUAUAGUCAUUAAAGGUAAGGAAGCUGGUUGACAUUGAGUCAAUUAUUGGAGGAUACUAUCUUUCUCAAUUUACUGUUAAUGCUUUUGUCAAAAUAUCGUGUAGUUGCUUUACUGCAAAAAAUAUCCGCUGAAACUCAAGCUUUGAAGAACGAAUCAUCAGAAUUAUUUGACUGGCUUUUGUUUUAUCCUUUCCAUUUUUUCAUUUUCUUAAAGUUCAGUGUUUGAAGUAGUUUAGCUGUGCUUGGAAUCUCAAACUUACUGAGACCACAGAGCACAGUUGAGAAAUUGAGGGGUUGAGUUUGAUCAGUUCCUGAAGAUAACUCUUCCUAAUGCCUGUAAAUUCUUAUUUCCCAACUUGUAGUGUGAUUCAUGCUGAUUUUGUUUCCUUUUGACAGUCUUAUGGGUGAGCCAUUGAAUUGGAUGACUUGAGUAUUUGCAUUGAUAGAAAGCGGGAACAUUCAGCUUCAUAAUGUUGGUUUUGGUACCAAUAUUGGUACCAUGCUGGUAUAUUGUUGGUAUAGGUUGGUUAUUUGCACUAACACUCUAUAUGCCCCCUCAUACUGAGUACUGGUUUAUUGUUGGUACAGUACACUAUUGCCAGAUAUGUGGUGGUAUGGUCCGCUAUGGCUAAUAAUUACUCAACCUUGAAAAACAAAAUUUAUUCUGAUAUUUCUAUUCUCAUUGCAACAAAUGAAUGUGUUAUUAGUCAUCCAUGGGGUUAAACAAGUUGAUAGCGUGCACCAUCUCUGCUACAUAUAAUGUGGGAGGGAGGACAUGUUCUGCUGUUGUUUGCCAUCAUAACCGGGAAACUCUUGGUGUUUAUUAUUACUACUAUUCUUUUGAUGUAACUGAGGGAAGAAAGGAUCCUUGAGUAAAAUUUUAAUUCUACUAGUGGAAACUGAUAAAGGUUCUGCCAUUUUUGUGAGGUACUUCCUUUCAUUUCCUUCCUCUUGAAUCAUAAGAUGUGUAUGGAAGAGUGCUCUAUAUGGAUCUGUUAAAACACCACAUUCACCUGGAUUAUGAUUAUUGCAUUAUUUACUCACAAAUGAACAAUUUUGUUCUUAUACCAAAUCUUGGCAGAUGUGCCCUUCAUGGUGAAUGAUUCACUUAAUCUACGAGGGGAACAAAUUGAAAUUUUGUUAUAGAAAGUUGUGGCUUAAUUAUAAUAGUUUUAGAUAUCUGAGACUUGCUCUCUGCAGGAGACAAACUGAGGGAGAACUAUCAGAUCAUCUUCUACCUCGCCUGCAUGAGGUAGUAGUCACCUACUUCUGAGAUAGGCAUGAAAGUUUGUGUUCAAUUAAUGAUAGUAGCAUUUUCAUAUAUGACUCAUAAAGAAUUUAGGACACCAAGGCUAGAUUACAAUUUAUGGAGAAAUUGAACAAGUUACAAGUGCCGACAAUAAGCACACUUCAAUAAUUGGCUUGAGGACGAAGCGUUUGUGAAGCACAUGAAAUUAUAGAAGUAGCGAGAUUACUGCCAUAAGCUUGACAGCCGUAAAUAUAAAAUGAUAACUACUGGUUAUAUUACUCCAGUCAUCAUCAUAUUCAGCUAACACAUCAAGCUGAUUAUAAGGAGGGACAUAUAAGAUGUGAUAUAAAUUUUAAACCACCAUGAGUAUCUCCUGACUUGAUGAUUUGAAAGUUCUGGGUGGGCAGCCGACAAAUUUGGUUAUGAAUUUGAUAUCCAGACAAGUUAUGAUAUCCAGACAACUUAAUGUAAGGUCAAAGUUUAAAUUACUGGUACUGUUACCGUAUUAGCACUUGGCUGGGAUGCUGUACUGAGUGUCGAUAUACUGAGUACUAGUUCCCUACCUGUCUGUGAUGGUACACUUCCGAAUAACUCAUUUUGUCACGUACCUAACUUUUUUUCCCACUGACUUUUGAUCUCUGACUAGUGGAAAGUUGGAAAUGGGUGUUAAGAGUGGCGGAGUAUCAUUGUUGUGUUCAGUGAAUUGUUUAUGGUCUUCUUUUCGUGUGUUGGAUUCCAAAUUCCAUCUAUUGUAGUUUGUGAAUAGCAUAUUUGUGAUGAUUUAGGCCCAUCAUAACUAUUCGUAUUACGCCAUCAAUCCGUUGCAGCAUUCUAGUACUUGCUCAUUUUUCAAGGUCAUUGUGGAUGGAAGUUAUGGAUGGAAUUCUCUUUUAUGGAUGUCCAAAUUUAGGGACACUACAAGAAAAAGGGAAUUUAGCGGCAGUCAAAACUGCUGGUAAAAGUAUAGAAAUUCGAUGGGGAAGCUUUUUCGAGCGAUUGUACCAAUCGCUACCAAGCGGCAGCUAAGGCCUGAGCGUGUCAUCGCUAUGUUAACCCUAAUGAAUUACAUAACCGUUGGAGAAAGUAUAUUUUCAACAACAGUUUAAAUGAGAAUUUAGCAGCGCUUUCCAACCAUUGAAGAAACUUCAUCCAACAGUCCCAUCUGCUACCAAAAUAUUGUAAUGGUCAUCUCAUUUGAUCAAUAAUUAAAACUUUUAAUAGAGGUUCCCAGUGAUCAUGACAAUUGGUAAUUAUACUUUUAGCAGCGCUUCUACGUUAGGUCUCCACCGCUCUUCUCCUCUGGUCCUUCUAUCUGAAACUCAAAUGUUCUGCAACCAAAUAAUUGUUUGAUAUCAUUUCGACUAAGAUGAUGGAUCCAGAGGACCCGAAUCACCAUCUCUGGGGAAGAUGGAGAGCAUCGUCCUCUUUAAUGCUCCCUCUGAUUACUGCAUGCAGCGAGUGCCAUAUCAUUUUCCCUCUCUGUUGUUGCUGACAAUGGUCCUCUCUCCCUCUCUCCACUGCCUCCUCCUCAAUCCCUCCUCCUACUCGUCUUCUGCCCCCUUAAUAGCUAGAACGGUGCCGCCCUCGAUCGCCCUUCCCAUCGCUGCGACUCCUCUCCCCCUAGAUUCGAUUGUGCUGCCACCUCCGAGUACACCAAGAUCACCGUCUUCGAUACCCAAAGGAGCAAGAUGCCGUCAACUCUCAUGUACCCGAGGAUGACCUACCUCAUUACCUCACAUGAUAGUCUGCAGCACCAUGGCAAAGAAAGAAACUCUCUCCCGCAGUACAUCAUCUCUAGGGCCAACCCAACCCUUAGGCGACUGUGGCAGUUGCCUAACGCUCCGGCCCAAAAGAAGGCCCACCACAAAGAGAAAAAGAAGUUGAAAUAAAAUGAAUACCGGAGAGGAAGGAGAGGAGGGCCGCUUCUUCGAAAGGGAUUCUCGCUGAGAGAGGGUCUGGUGCUGCUGGUCAAGCUUCUGGAGCGCUUCUCGGGACCUCUCCUGGUCGAUUUCAAACUGGCUUUCUUCUUUCUCUGCGGCACCACUUGAAGGAGGAGAAAACCUUCUUCUGCUUGUUCUCCAUAAUAGACCGAGCCUUGUGGUGUACUUGUGGUGGCCAACAUUGGCAUCUAAACAUGAUGACAAGGCUGUGGAUUUGGAGUGAAAGAAUGGAGAGGUUGGUGGUGGGACUGCGUUGAAGAAGAUGUUUGCUAGCAUCAUGGAAACAGCAUCGAUUACGCUUUGCAGCAGUUCAUAGUUGGUGGCGCUGGCGCUACUUGCUGACACCUCUGAGUGGAUAUGGGUGAAAAUAUCUUUCCAAGAUAUGAAGUAGUAGCUAGAACCAGAUCUUUAUUAACUGGAAAUAGUCAUUUGAAAUGGAACGUCCAUCCUUCUAUCCAUCCAGUGGCAAGAAAUAAUAACAUCUUCUCCCCUAUCAACACCACCACCUUGCCAUCAACCAUUCAGCCCAUCACCACCUCCACCAUUAAUAGCAUUCCCCUAGCUCUACCAAUAAAAGUCCUUUUAACGUCUUUUUACUUUCAUUUUAAGUACCACGACUGAGUUGUCUACCAUUUGUUAUAAUGCCCAGUAGAUUUAGUUUUUUACUUUCAUUUUAAGUACCAUGACUGAGUUGUUUACCAUAUGUUUGUUAUAAUGCCCGAUAAAUUUAUAUUUAUUGUAAUGCUCGAUAGAUUUAGUUUUUACUUUCAUUUAAAGUACCAUGAAUGAGUUGUUUACCAUCUAUUUGUUAUAACGCCCAGUAGAUUUCCGUUUGUUGUAAUGCCCGGUAGAUUUAGUUUUUACUUUUAUUUUAAGUACCAUGACUAAGUUGUCUACCAUCUGUUUGUUAUAAUGCUCAGUAGAUUUAUGUUUGUUGUAAUGCUCAGUAGAUUUAUGUUUGUCGUAAUGCCCAGUAGAUUUAGUUUUUACUUUUAUUUUAAGUAUCAUGACUGAGCUGUCUACCAUCUGUUUGUUAAAAUUUUUUCAUCAUUUUUCAAAAAAAAAAAAAGCUUUUUUUAGUGAGUUCGUCUUAGGCCUCCAAAAGCAUUGAGCCGCCCUGUUCAUGUCCUCCGACUUCGAUAUUCCAAACCCGGGGGACAGAAACACUCAUAGUUGGAAUACCAAAGGAUGCUGGACGAGGCGGUGAGGCUGCUGAAACGGCUGUUCAGGGAGGGAUCUACAGGGUAUGUCACGCCGCAAGACGCAGUGCAGGCAACAAAGAGGGAGACCUACUGAGGAUAUUCAAGGAACUCAAGCUUGCGUCGCCGCGCGCAUAUGUUUUAGUUAUAAUUUUUUUCCGCUUCCAGCUAGCAGUGUUAUAGACUUGUAGUCCAUUCGAUGCCAAUGUCAACAAAUUUAAAAAACACGUUUGCUCAUGUGGCACUAAAACACAAGUGG